UAGCCUACGGGGGGCAGCAGUGGGGGAUAUUGCACAAUGGGGGGAACCCUGAUGCAGCGACGCCGCGUGGGUGAAGAAGUAUUUCGGUAUGUAAAGCCCUAUCGGCAGGGAAGAAAUUGGACGGUACCUGACUAAGAAGCCCCGGCUAACUACGUGCCAGCAGCCGCGGUAAUACGUAGGGGGCAAGCGUUAUCCGGAUUUACUGGGUGUAAAGGGGGCGCAGACGGCGAUGCAAGCCAGGAGUGAAAGCCCGGGGCCCAACCCCGGGACUGCUCUUGGAACUGCGGGGCUGGAG
rnacentral:rRNA from 1 species